GGACGCUCUCCCCAAGGACGAAGCCAUGCAUGCCCGCUCACCCGGGACGCGGCGGACGGCUCAGGACAACGGUUGCACCCCCCGCGGCGGUCCCUGCUAGCCGGACACCGCUGGCAACCCGGCGCCAAGACGUGCGCGCAAGGGCGGGCGCCCGCGGGCGACAACGUGACCCAG
rnacentral:rRNA from 1 species